rnacentral:rRNA from 1 species
GACGAACGCUGGCGGCGUGCUUAACACAUGCAAGUCGAACGGAAAGGCCCUGCUUUUGUGGGGUGCUCGAGUGGCGAACGGGUGAGUAACACGUGAGUAACCUGCCCUUGACUUUGGGAUAACUUCAGGAAACUGGGGCUAAUACCGGAUAGGAGCUCCUGCUGCAUGGUGGGGGUUGGAAAGUUUCGGCGGUUGGGGAUGGACUCGCGGCUUAUCAGCUUGUUGGUGGGGUAGUGGCUUACCAAGGCUUUGACGGGUAGCCGGCCUGAGAGGGUGACCGGCCACAUUGGGACUGAGAUACGGCCCAGACUCCUACGGGAGGCAGCAGUGGGGAAUAUUGCACGAUGGGCGGAAGCCUGAUGCAGCAACGCCGCGUGCGGGAUGAAGGCCUUCGGGUUGUAAACCGCUUUCGCCUGUGACGAAGCGUGAGUGACGGUAAUGGGUAAAGAAGCACCGGCUAACUACGUG